UUUUUUUUGAUGUUUCAAAUUAUGAUAAUCAAUUAAUGGAUCUUUUUUAUCAUAUUUACCAAGAUGAGAGUAAGCCAAACUUCCUCAGAAAAUUAUUUCUGAUAUUUGCACUGUGAUAAAUACCAUUGAAAAGAUGUGUUUGUUGAAAUUAAGAACAUGUAUACUAAGUUAAUGUUAUAUAAUUUUAAAUUACAAUGAAUU
rnacentral:lncRNA from 1 species